UACGAAGGGGGCUAGCGUUGCUCGGAAUCACUGGGCGUAAAGCGCACGUAGGCGGGCUACUUAUGAUCAGGGGUGAAAUCCUGGAGCUCAACUCCAGAACUGCCUUUGAUACUGGGAGCCUUGAGUUCGGGAGAGGUGAGUGGAACUGCGAGUGUAGAGGUGAAAUUCGUAGAUAUUCGCAAGAACACCAGUGGCGAAGGCGGCUCACUGGCCCGAUACUGACGCUGAGGUGCGAAAGCGUGGGGAGCAAACAGG
rnacentral:rRNA from 1 species